GACGAACGCUGGCGGCGUGCUUAACACAUGCAAGUCGAACGGAAAGGCCCUGCUUUUGUGGGGUGCUCGAGUGGCGAACGGGUGAGUAACACGUGAGUAACCUGCCCUUGACUUUGGGAUAACUUCAGGAAACUGGGGCUAAUACCGGAUAGGAGCUCCUGCUGCAUGGUGGGGGUUGGAAAGUUUCGGCGGUUGGGGAUAGACUCGCGGCUUAUCAGCUUGUUGGUGGGGUAGUGGCUUUCCAAGGCUUUGACGGGUAGCCGGCCUGAGAGGGUGACCGGCCACAUUGGGACUGAGAUACGGCCCAGACUCCUACGGGAGGCAGCAGUGGGGAAUAUUGCACAAUGGGCGGAAGCCUGAUGCAGCAACGCCGCGUGCGGGAUGACGGCCUUCGGGUUGUAAACCGCUUUCGCCUGUGACGAAGCGUGAGUGACGGUAAUGGGUAAAGAAGCACCGGCUAACUACGUG
rnacentral:rRNA from 1 species